rnacentral:precursor_RNA from 12 species
CUUUUUUUCUUCUUCUUUUGCGUCCUUCUGACUUGCGCUUUGCGGACAAACUGUUGCAUUCCAAGGCGUUUGUUCGUUCGGCUCGAGUUAAAAAGGGCUGCAUCAAACAUCGGCAAUCAU